GGAGAGAUGGCUCAGUGGUUAAGAGCACUGAUGGCUCUUCCAGAGGACCUGGGUUCAAUUCCUAGUACCA
rnacentral:tRNA from 1 species